rnacentral:rRNA from 1 species
AUUGAACGCUGGCGGCAGGCCUAACACAUGCAAGUCGAGCGAGCGGCGGACGGGUGAGUAAUGGCUGGGAACCUGCCUGAUGGAGGGGGAUAACUACUGGAUACGGUAGCUAAUACCGCAUACCAUCAGAUGUGCCCAGAUGGGAUUAGCUAGUAGGUGGGGUAACGUCUCACCUAGGCGACGCUCCCUAGCUGGUCUGAGAGGAUGACCAGCCACACUGGAACGGUGACACGGUCCAGACUCCUACGGGAGGCAGCAGUGGGGAAUAUUGCACAAUGGGCGCAAGCCUGAUGCAGCCAUGCCGCGUGUGUGAAGAAGGCCUUCGGAUUGUAAAGCACUUUCAGCGGGGAGGCGUUACCCACAGAAGAAGCACCGGCUAACUCCGUGCCAGCAGCCGCGGUAAUUC